UACCCGAAGGGUUACUGGUCAAAGUUUCGUUUGCAGUAUGGUUUACAUGGGCACCCUCAGUUCUCGUAACACUACACAGAUGGCUUUUUGCAGUUCUCGUAACACAACAUAGAUGGCUGCACUAGUUUUUGGCAAUUAUUGAUUAUAAUCAACAAUUUAAUUGCAUUUCAAUGGCGGUAAUCGAAUUGCAAUAGCUGUUACAGCAGACGAUAAUACAGAGACAUGUGACAGGAUGACAGCAUCGUCUCUAUUGAAUAUGACCAGCAUGACCCAGGAUCGAAGAAACAGCGUAGAGUACCGCCGUUGAUUGUUGGACCAUCUCUAGCCUGUCUUAUUUUUCUUUUCAAAAUUAUCAUCCUGUUGGAGUAAUAUUGUAUGAUAGAAUAGAAGUCACUGUAUGUUA